CCCGCCGUGCCUAAGCCCUAGCCCAGCUGGCGAGCUUAUCCUCUCCGCCUCACCUAUAAAAGGCCCCCAAGAGCCCCGAGCUCGUCCUCCCCUCUGAGCCUUUUCUACUCCCUCAAAAACAUUUCGUCGAACACCUUGUGGGCGUGCUGCACCUUCUUCUCCGCUCCACCACCGCAGCCGAUCUUCGUCAUUCUGCCGUCUCUCGGUAAUUCCUCGCUCCUGUGACAUCUUACAGUUCCCUAGUAUUUAUUUUCCCCGUCAAUUUCAUCAAUUAGGGCCAUAACCAUGCCAAGCCCGAGCUCCGAAGCUCUACUCAUGGAGCUCGCUGUGGGUAGAUCACCUCAAGCGCUCUCCUUCCCACCUAGAUAGUAAAACGGAAUCCCCAUACCCCGUAGAUGCUCCCACACCCAUCAAUUCGGUCAGAAAUUAUUGCUAUCGCCCUAGCCCCAUGUUGCCCGAGCUCGGCCAUGGCGUGGCCGAGUUUAGCCGCCUGUCCACACGCCGCCAUGCGCCAUGGCCGCCUGCGGGUGGUCGCUGGAGUUCCUCCGAGCCUCCUCUGGUCGCCGCCGGGAUGCCCUCGCCUGGGCUGGGCCGCACGCGCCGCGCCUCUGCUCCGCUCGAUGGCCGGCGCGAGGAAGAAGACGACGGGAAAAGAAAGAACGAGAGAGAGAGCAGCCGGGCCCACCUGUCAAUGGUUCAUAGGAUUUGCUUUAGAAAAAUAAUCCGGUAGGAAAGCAAAUACAAUCCUAAACCCCACAUGUCAGUCACUUGGAGUUUUGGAUAAAGUUUAGGAAUAAAAAAUAAUUAAUUAGGAACAGUACCUUUUUACAAUUUCUCGGAUUAAUUCAAAUUUGAAUCUUUACACUAGCAUAACUUAUUCAUUUUAACUCGGAUUUGAGUGAAACUUGAACCUAAAUUCAUCUAAAUUCAUAAGCUUUCCAAUGGUAUAUAAUUCACUAUUUAAUAAAAUAUAUUUAUAAUUAUAAAUUAAUUAAUAUCAAAUGAUUAGAUAAUAGUUAACCUAAAUAGUGUGCCAAUAAAUAAAAAUGGAUAUUGUACAGUAGCAUAAUUAUCUUUAAUAUGUUUUGUCACUGUAGCAACCACAUAAAUUAAUUAUAAUCAUUGUUUCAAAUUAAUUAAAGCAUAGGAAAUGCUAGUGCCAUUUAUUAGUAUAUGUCCAUAUAUAAUUAUACCCAUAACGUCCAAACUAUAUAAAUAAUGUUUAGCCUCAUAUUUUGUGAAUAAAAUAUAAACACACGUUGAUGAGUCUUUAACUUGUUUAUGAGAAAUAAUAGCAGAGCUUGUAUGAUUAAAUAACCAAUGUGAAAUUAAUUAACGACAUUUCCUAUACAGUAGUAUAUGUUUAGGUUGGAAAUCGACCCUUAAGUUGUAUAGGCAGUAACUCACUCAUAAAUCCACUUAAAAUCACAUGUACUAUAUAGCUUAAAGUAAAUAGCAGCUAUUCAAAUAAAUGAUUCAAUAUUAAGAUAUUGUGCACUCACAUAUACUGUACAGUCCAUUAUAACUAUACGUUGUAGUAUUAAAUCGCUUGAUUGCAUAUAUUAAAAUUAAGGAGGAUAUAUGACAAACAUGUAGAGUGGAUAAAUACUAAUUAUAAAUCUUGGCCUCGUAUAACUAUAGUUCAAUUGUAAAUUAGGAUUAUUCAUUGUAAAAUUAUGUGAUGGGGUAAUCUGUAACCAUAAUAUGAUUAACCUAAACAACUCUAACAUACAAAGCAUGGAUAAUUAUUAACCUUUUUUUUAUUUAUUGUGACAAGUAAAAUAUGUUCAUAAUUAAAGUAAAGCCUCCAUCAAUUAAAUAAUAAUACAAAUGAUUCAUUAUUUGAUUGACCCUAAAUCCAUCUAACAACAGAACCUCUAAUAUAUAACCGACCUAUUUAGAUAAAUGCAUGUGUAGCCAUAAUCCUUCCAUAGCCAUUAGCUAGACUAAACCACAUAUUAGCCCGAUGUAUAUCUUAUUUAUACACUAUUGGUUAACUCCUAAAUAAACCACAUUGACAAUAGAAAGAUUAAGAAACCUUAGCCCCUAACGUGAUUGGAAUCCAUUAGCAGACACGAAUAGUAUGAGCAACCCUAGGUUCGACCCCGACAUUUGUAUUUUGGUUGUGCAUAUUUGCUUGUUGUUGAAUAUUGGUUUUUCUCGCGUAUUAUAGAAUUUGUGUAUCGGUUAGUCGUGAGGCAACGUAUGCAGCUUCCAGGAGGUGAAGGUUGAUCAAGAUUAUAUCAAUAAUAAGGACGAUUCUGAGCAGGCAAUUCAUCACUAUUCUUUGAACAUGUUGAUCCCAAUUGCGAAAUUGUUUUGUUUACAAAUAAAAUUGCAUGCAAUGAUGAACAUCCUACUUGUGAUUAUGCCAUGCCUUGAUUAUUGUUUACCCCUUAUUCCUUCGUAACCAUGAUUACGUAUGAGUCCCUAGUCAAUUAUGACAAUUGCUUAGAAAUGCUAUUCUAGAAUCAUGCAUACUCAUAUUUAUCAAAUGCUAUAUGCUUGGGCAAUUACCUUUGGGGAAGGUAAUUGAGAUGCGGCAUGUGGAGACAUGAGCGCCACAUUGCCAUGAAAUUGAUGACAUGAUUUGUGAAAGAAAAAUAAAGUGAAAACAACUGUUUUCGACUGGGGCGGACGGAGGAUUUGGGUGGUAUCUGGAAAAGGCUAGUACCGUCCCCGGUCAAUUAAGGACCGAGCCAUGAUUUAAGCAUGAAACGACCCCCGUACAACCGCACUUCUCGUAUGGGUAUAGACCUAGCGGAUUAGAUAGCCGAGCGGAGGCAGUAUCCCUGCAUAGAUGGUUCACCCCUGAGUGAGGCAGGUGCGCUAUGGUGGGACAGCCGUUGAGGUAGGGCCGAGAGGCGUGCCCUACAUCGGUGUCGCCAUUGGUAGGACUGCCAUGAGUGUGUGUGAGAGAGAACUUAACUUGAACCAUAAUUUAAUAUGUAUGUGAGACUUCUCUUUCCCUGGAGCGCCAGAACUCCUCUCACUGCUAGAAACAUGGACGCCUAGAGUGCAUGAGGAUUUAAGUUCAUGGAGCGGGUACUGCCAAUGCGAGGUUAUCAAAAAGCUUUGCCGUGACGCGUCCCAUGUGUUGGGACGAGGCUCAUGUGUUGGGCAGUCGCGGAGUGCGGAUAAAGUGUAUAUCCACUGCAGUGUGAGUAAACCAAAUCUAUUUGAAUAGCCGUGCUAGCAGUUAUUGAGCACCGGGACGUGUAUUACACUUGGCUAGACUCUAAAUUCUUAACUUGUGUGGGAUGGGAUAUUGCAUGAUGAUUUUUAUGCUGUUGGAGCCACUUCCUGAGAGGAGGGAAGGUGGACGUCCUCAGAAAACCAUGACGACUCAAUGGCGAGAAGCUAUCCUUGGGAUCACAAUGGAUGGUGGACAGAACCGUCGUUGUUUAAUGUGAACACUGGUAUUUAAACUUGAUCAGUCUAUGCUAGGUCUUAGGCUUGUGAAAAGAUUUGGAAAACUUGCUUUGCGCAAAGGAAUCUAAAGCCAUUCCUUGAAAUACCCUCUAUCAUAUGCAUCGUUGCUGUGGUGGCUUGCUGAGUACGAUUGGUACUCACCCUUGCUGUUUAUAUAUCUUUUAGGAGAGUGUUGAAGAGAAGCCCUUGUCGGUACGCUUGCGUAUCCAACAAGAUGAUCAGAGUGCGGUCUUGUUCUAGGUCUCGUCCCCCAGUCGACUGCCUGUGGCAUGUUAACCGGGCCCUUAUAUUAUUUUGUCUUCCGCUGCUGUUCUCUGGUAGUUGUUGGCCUACCUGGCCCUAAUGUAAGUAUUUAACUCUUUUAACCUGAAUUCAUUCGUGAUAUGUUGUGAUCCAACUAUGUAUGUGUGUACCAACUAUUGAUCUAGGGAUUGGUACAGAUAAACACAGAAGAUUUCCGAUUUCCAAAAUCGGGGGUCUACAAUCGAAGAUGAAGAUUGUCGCGGAAACAGAGUAAGAAUCGGCUGAAGUCCGGAUCGACUACGAUUGGAUCGGCUGAGUUGGAGUCAGACUUGGUUAGGUGAUGCAGCCGAUUCCAACAAUACGACUUGGUGUACGACAUCGGGUUGGGUUGAGGUGCUUCAAGAUGAUUGCCAUGCAUGGAUAGAGUUCUGGGAAGGCAAUUGUAUCUAUUAAUUAAGACAUUUUAUGUAAUUUUCUUAGAGAUAUGCUUGGGCAAAAGUCUGCCGUAAAGACUUGUGGUAUCUUAGAUUUUGUUAGAGAUAAUAGUCAUGUCUGGUAUGGACAUAUCUUGUAAUUCUCGGGUAUGAAUAGACCCCGAGCCCUAUGUAAUUAAACACACACGUUCAAUACAAUUUCGGCGCAUCGCCACCUUUUUGCUUUAGUUUUAUUUCGACAAGUUCUUGCUUUC
rnacentral:lncRNA from 1 species